AUUGAACGCUGGCGGCAGGCCUAACACAUGCAAGUCGAGCGAGCGGCGGACGGGUGAGUAAUGUCUGGGAAACUGCUUGAUGGAGGGGGAUAACUACUGGAAACGGUAGCUAAUACUGCAUACCCUCAGAUGUGCCCAGAUGGGAUUAGCUAGUGGGUGGGGUAACGUCUCACAUAGGCGACGAUCCCUAGCUGGUCUGAGAGGAUGACCAGCCACACUGGAACUGUGACACGGUCCAGACUCCUACGGGAGGCAGCAGUGGGGAAUAGUGCACAAGGGGCGCAAGCCUGAUGCAGCCAUGCCGCGUGUGUGAAGAGGGCCUUCGGGUUGUAAAGCACUUUCAGCGGGGAGGCGUUACCCGCAGAAGAAGCACCGGCUAACUCCGUGCCAGCAGCCGCGGUAAUUC
rnacentral:rRNA from 1 species